rnacentral:rRNA from 1 species
CCUACGGGAUGCAGCAGUGGGGAAUAUUGGACAAUGGACGAAAGCCUGAUCCAGCAAUGCCGCGUGUGUGAAGAAGGCCUUCGGAUUGUAAAGCACUUUCGACGGGGACGAUGAUGACGGUACCCGUAGAAGAAGCCCCGGCUAACUUCGUGCCAGCAGCCGCGGUAAUACGAAGGGGGCUAGCGUUGCUCGAAAUGACUGGGCGCAAAGGGCGCGUAGGCGGUUUAUGCAGUCAGAUGUGAAAUCCCCGGGCUUAACCUGGGAACUGCACUUGAGACGCAUAGACUAGAGGUCGAGAGAGGGUUGUGGAAUUC